AUUGAACGCUGGCGGCAGGCCUAACACAUGCAAGUCGAACGGUAACAGGAAGACGCUUGCUUCUUUGCUGACGAGUGGCGGACAGGUGAGUAAUGUCUGGGAAACUGCCUGAUGGAGGGGGAUAACUACUGGAAACGGUAGCUAAUACCGCAUAACGUCGCAAGACCAAAGAGGGGGACCUUCGGGCCUCUUGCCAUCGGAUGUGCCCAGAUGGGAUUAGCUAGUAGGUGGGGUAACGGCUCACCUAGGCGACGAUCCCUAGCUGGUCUGAGAGGAUGACCAGCCACACUGGAACUGAGACACGGUCCAGACUCCUACGGGAGGCAGCAGUGGGGAAUAUUGCACAAUGGGCGCAAGCCUGAUGCAGCCAUGCCGCGUGUAUGAAGAAGGCCUUCGGGUUGUAAAGUACUUUCAGCGGGGAGGAAGGGAGUAAAGUUAAUACCUUUGCUCAUUGACGUUACCCGCAGAAGAAGCACCGGCUAACUCCGUG
rnacentral:rRNA from 1 species